rnacentral:lncRNA from 1 species
CUCUGAUCAGCUGAUUCUUCCUUACAAAUACUGUCUUUGCUUCUGGAGCUGUUCCCUCCUCUCCCCUUGAGCUUAAAAGACUUCCUCAACCAAGAAAUGAGCAGUCCUCACCCUCUGGACUGUGUGUGGCAGAAACAUUCCCUGCUCCUGACUCCACGUGUCCUCCGUUACUCUGCUCCGUCACUCUGCUCCAGUGUGUAUAUCAUAAGGCCUGGGUCCAAGUCCACUCGCCACUAGAGCUUCAGCACAAGAGAGCUUCACAUCGGCCAUCAGCUUUACAUCAAUUGCAGGAAGGACCUGAUGUCUGUGGAGGCCAAACAACCAGGACUGAAGCUGAUGCUGUAUGUGGGAAUCCACAGGACCGGACUCUGUCCUGCCUCUCAUCUCCUAAGGGCAUCUGAAAAUUGAGAUGAGAUCCAGGAAGAUGCAGUUCAAUCUCAGGCUCUCCAGGAAUCCCACUCCUUUGGCUGUACUGAC